rnacentral:lncRNA from 12 species
UGUAUAAUCUGGAAACUUCAAGUUACAUAGCCACUCCCAGGAUGUGAUACAUGUGUCCACAUCACCUGACAGACAGCAUUCACUUAAAUCAGUUGAAAGCAAAGACAAAAGGUUCCUAUUCUCUGAUCCUUGGAUUGUAUCAAGAACCAGAAAUCCAGUGGAAAGGAUGCUUGUCUAAGUCUGCAAAUGCCUAUGCUUGAGCUUGUAGUCUGUUUCUGUAGCCCUGCCUACAGCUGUCCUCAGAAUAGUGCUGAGCUAUGACAAUGUAUACCUGACCCUAUUUUAGGAGAGAUUUAUAGAGGGCCUUGUUUCUUAGGAGCAGAACACAACCUGGACUGAACCCUACUACAAAGAAUUUUUCCCUCUUAGUCUAUUUAUUUAAUGUGCCACACUUUCAAAUGCUACCAUCUGCUCCACUCAGCCAUUAGUAGCUUGAGAUUUUGUUGAUAAACUGCCCACCUUAAUUGAUAUAUUGUUUUUUAAUCUCAGCAUAGCUUUAUAAACUAUUGACAAUUAAACUGUGUUUAAAUGAACCAUAUAAAUUAAGGUGGUAAAUAGUUUCCUCUUUAAUUAAUUAAAACCUGAGUAAUCUUGGUUUUAAAUACUUACAUUUUUUCAUUCCUCUUUGCUAUGCCUUCCAUUUACUAAACUCUCUCACACACAUACACACACACACACACACACACACACACACACACACCUUGCUGGCUAGCCUCAGUCUUCAGAAAUUCUCAGGUAUCCAGAAUUAGUCUGACAUGAAGACAGCCUAAUAAGAAUCUUGAUGUUGACAUGGUUCUAAUUGAUGCAAUAAUUACAAAUAUAGUUCCAAAAUGGUCGAAAAAUGGGGGUUAUAUUUAGUGAAUCCUGAUCAUUAUUUUACGGAAUAAUGUGGAACUUUGCACUAGGUGAUGACAUCCCCAAUCCCUGUGCAAAAGCUACACAUUACACAGCAGAGUUUUAAGAAUG